CGCCUACGGGGGGCAGCAGUGGGGAAUAUUGCACAAUGGGGAAAACCCUGAUGCAGCGACGCCGCGUGAGUGAAGAAGUAUUUCGGUAUGUAAAGCUCUAUCAGCAGGGAAGAUAAUGACGGUACCUGACUAAGAAGCCCCGGCUAACUACGUGCCAGCAGCCGCGGUAAUACGUAGGGGGCAAGCGUUAUCCGGAUUUACUGGGUGUAAAGGGAGCGUAGGUGGCAGGGCAAGUCAGAUGUGAAAACCCGGCGCUCAACUCCGGGAUUGCAUUUGAAAGUGUCCGGCUGGAGUGCAGGAGAGGG
rnacentral:rRNA from 1 species